CCUACGGGUGGCAGCAGUGAGGAAUAUUGGUCAAUGGACGAGAGUCUGAACCAGCCAAGUAGCGUGAAGGAUGACUGCCCUAUGGGUUGUAAACUUCUUUUAUAUGGGAAUAAAACGUUCCACGUGUGGGAUUUUGUAUGUACCAUAUGAAUAAGGAUCGGCUAACUCCGUGCCAGCAGCCGCGGUAAUACGGAGGAUCCGAGCGUUAUCCGGAUUUAUUGGGUUUAAAGGGAGCGUAGGUGGAUUGUUAAGUCAGUUGUGAAAGUUUGCGGCUCAACCGUAAAAUUGCAGUUGAAACUGGCAGUCUUGAGUACAGUAGAGGUGGGCGGAAUUCGUGGUGUAGCGGUGAAAUGCUUAGAUAUCACGAAGAACUCCGAUUGCGAAGGCAGUUCACUGGACUGCAACUGACACUGAGGCGCGAAAGUGUGGGUAUCAAACAGGAUUAGAUACCCUUGUAGUC
rnacentral:rRNA from 1 species